UUUGUUUUUGUAAAAUGGCACUCUAUUCUAUUGCUGUAAGAGCCUAGCUGGAGAAAAACAAGCACAGCCAGGGUGCAACAGAAGCUGGACAGGUAGAGAGCAGCCAUCAAGGAGAAUUCAUGGCACAAGAACGACUCUGGAAGAAACGUGGACAAUGAAUGGCUAGAGGGAGAGAAAGACAACAGAAAGAUCAUUAAGGAGGCCAUGAUUCUAACUCACCUGCAGAAACUUGUGCAGAAAAGAACAGGGGAGAAGAAGACAUGCAUCUUCAUAUUAUCGAUUUAGAACCAUUUCUUAUUAACAGUGUGAUGAACAUUUGUGGAGCAAAGAGUUAACGUGUGUCAAGUGCAGGUGAAAGGAACGGAAGGAACCUUAUCUAAAAAAGUCAAACACCUCUUUGAGCUUCUCUGGGAGGAUGUAAGUCGAGAGGCACCGACCAAGAGAAGGAAGGAGAAUGGCCUCCAGUCCUGAUUCAUGCUGAGGCCUUCAGAAAUGUAUUCGGAAAUGGUAAGACUUGAGCCAGCCUGAUUAAUGGCCAUCCAGCUGGUCAAUAACAAUGCAUCAAUACCAAAUAAAAAGGAUGCUCAAGAUCAAUGAGAGGUA